AUUCCAGCGCUGAUCCGGCGAGCAGCAGCAACAGCAGCAGCAGGACCGCGGAGACGACGAGAACAGCAAAAAAUAAAGGAUGCAUGUAGCCUGUACAAGGUGUACCCUGACUUGGCUAGUACCAUGGACUUCCUGGAUAAGCUCCAGACCACCGUGACCUGGGCAUGGACAAGCGGUAUAGAUAGUGAGUGAGAUGAACAGUACGAAGAAAGCUCCUUGGCUGCAUUUCUCAGGGCACUAGCUUGCUAAUCUUGGACAUAGGAAGCUAAUUAGCGAACAGCACUGGAAGCAUUCAGAAGGAGGACCUUUCCCAGGCUCCAGGCCCUGCUCUCUCAGCGUGCUGCCAGUCUCUGCGCUGCUUGGUCGGCCUUGAACAACAGCUGCGGGCAACUGCAAACAUCCAACAUCUACGGAGAGGCAUAAAGAGGCAGUUGAUAGCGAGAAACUGCCCGAUGCUCAGGAAUGCCUGCACGUUUAUGCCUUCAUUCAGCCGGACUCAGUGCUCUCUUUAUUUAGCAGUAACACUUAAUGAAUAUGGAUACAAAAUAAAGCCGUCUUCUCCGGGCAACCAGGAAAAUAAUAAAUUAGCAU